rnacentral:rRNA from 1 species
CCUACGGGAGGCAGCAGUGAGGAAUAUUGGUCAAUGGGCUUACGCCUGAACCAGCCAAGUCGCGUGAGGGAAGACUGCCCUAUGGGUUGUAAACCUCUUUUGUCAGGGAGCAACGCCGGCUACGUGUAGCCUGCCUGCUAGUACCUGAAGCAAAAGCAUCGGCUAACUCCGUGCCAGCAGCCGCGGUAAUACGGAGGAUGCGAGCGUUAUCCGGAUUUAUUGGGUUUAAAGGGUGCGUAGGCGGAAUGCCAAGUCAGCGGUAAAAUCGCGGGGCUCAACCUGGCUCCGCCGUUGAAACUGGCGUUCUGGAGUGGGCGAGAAGUAUGCGGAAUGCGUGGUGUAGCGGUGAAAUGCAUAG